AACAAUAGAGAUUGUGCCCACCUGUCAAUAUUUGUGUGCUGUUGAUUCUCAGGAAUAUUUGAUUUCUUAUGUCUGUUAUUACUGGUUUCCGUCCAUUAUGUUACUGUAGUAGAUGUAUGUUGGCCUAGGAUCUAGCAUUAUUCUUUUUGUUGAUCUUAGGUUAAAUAUUUGGGUGAGGGAACUUCAACUCCUGAUAGGCAAUGUCAAUGAAGGAUUACAAUGUGACUUUUCCAUAGAUGUUGACGCAUAAUGGAGUUCCUACCGUGCAGGUAACUGAGGUGAAAGAGGAGGAUGUGGUUUGUAUGAUUAAGAAUUCUGCCACCUUGGCUGUGUCAUUGUACACGCUACAUGUGUCUCAGAUUCGCAUUGAUCUUCCUACUCUCACUGAUAAAGAUAAGGAGGUACGCUAUGCUAUAGCCAAUUGAGAGCUUAUUCAGGAUUUUUCAAGACCUAAGAUUUCAUGUCUGUUCCAGUAUUUAGUGAUGUGCAGCUCUUGGAAACUACUACUUUCUCAUGUUGCUUUAUUUUUCUUUAACUGCCUCUAAACAAUUUUGGUUUCUUAUCUAGAGUUUACAUGAUCACUGUGACAACUUUAGGUUAUAAGCACUUGGGGAGUUCGGAACAACAUAGACUUCCUCUCACUUUCAUAUACACGACAUGCAGAGGAUGUUAGACAUGUAAGGAGUGUUUCUGGUUUUUAUUAUUGUCUUUCUAUCCAUUUCUCUCUCUUAUAUUCUUCAUUAUUGUUUUAUAUUCUGUUGACUAUCAGGCGCAAAAUAAAUUAGGCAUUAAAAAUUACGUAUUUAUGAUUAUUCCAAUUUGGUGUCUAAUAAUCAGUGGACCCUUUUGCUGGUCUGCAGGCUCGUGAGUUUCUUUCUAACUUGGGUGACCUCAGUCAAACCCAGAUUUUUGCGAAGAUCGAAAAUGUAGAGGUUAGAAGCCUGUUAGAAUUUUUUGAAUGGUCUCAAAAGAAGCUGCACGUUAAUCUUAAUCUGAAAUUGUAUCUUGUCUUUAUUUUCCUCACAUUCUUUUGCAGGGGUUGACCCAUUUUGAUGAGAUCCUCCAAGAAGCAGAUGGCAUCAUCCUCUCUCGUGGAAAUCUAGGGAUAGAUCUCCCCCCAGAGAAGGUCCAUUUCAAAUUUGGAUAUACUAACUUGAUAUUUUGCUUCUUGGCAAAUAGAUGAAAAUUUAUAUAGGCUAUUUGCACUUAACGAGUUAGAAGAUGUUGCCAAUGACCGGGUAUCAAGUGGAGUUGGAUGUACGUAGAAAUUUUUAACAUUAAAGUGCUACACUUCGAUUAGUGAAUGUAGCAUUUUACAUAUGGUAGAGAAUGAGCGGAAAGUAGAUGAUAAUGGCUAUAAGAUCAAGCUUUCUGAAAGAACAAACACCAACACAUCCAUUGCCCUUUUCUCUUAUUUUGGGGUUUCCCCUGAAAAUCCUUACGGCUUCCUGUUGAUAUGUCUGCAUUCUUCAUGCGAUCACUGUAGUGUUGGUGAACCAUUUAUUGCCCGUUUCUGACAACAUUUUAAUGUGCUCAGGUAUUUUUAUUUCAAAAGGCAGCUGUUUACAAGUGCAAUAUGGCUGGGAAGCCUGCUGUGGUCACUCGUGUGGUAGACAGUAUGACUGAUAACUUGCGACCCACUCGUGCUGAGGCAACUGAUGUAGCCAAUGCUAUCUUGGAUGGUAUCUUUCAGUACUCAGAAUGGAUCCUUGAUUAUCUGAUUAGUUUCUGAGUGUCUGCAGAAAGUUCACACAUGUUCUUUUGUUUGCAACUAUGAGAGAUCAUUUUGUCCGUGCAUACAUUAUCUAUGAUAGCUAUUACAAUGGCAACGUGAAAACUUAUCCUCUAUCCUUUUCUAUUGUUUCAGGCAGUGAUGCCGUUCUUUUAGGUGCAGAGACCCUCCGUGGAUUAUACCCUGUUGAUACCAUUUCAGUUGUUGGUAAAAUUUGUGCUGAGGUGAACUUUAUUCUAUUUUCAUCGUCCUUGCUAAUCAGCAUCACCAUUAAAUUUGUUACGUCUCCCUUGUCUCUCCCCCCAAACUAGAAAUGGAUAAUUCUGUGAAGUAGAAAGAUAUUUUGCUCGUGUCUCAGUUCUAUGGAUGAUGUUCUGAGAAGGUAUAUCCAAUAAAUUAAAAAUUAUGUGAUCGAAAAUAUUGUUUUAACAAAAUAAAUCUUAAAGAAUGAGUGCUCAAACAUAUGCUAGUAUAGAACGCAAUCACCUAAUAACAAAUAUCCGAGUCUUCAUAGGGAUGUGAUUUACUAAUAUUCGUUAACAAGUCCCUGUUUGGUUUAAAUAAAAUAAAAAAAAAAGAUUUUGAUUAAAGUUGAUCAAAUAUAUGAUUAAAAAAUUGUAGGCCUCAAUGAAGUAUGUGAUUAAAAUUAAGCCCUUAUUUGGUGAAAAUUAAAAUAAUAUUUUUAGUAGAUUUUGGUAGAAAAGAUGAAAUGUAUAAUUGAGAAAUUGUGGGUUUUAUAAAAUGUAUAAUUAUAAUUAAUUAUUGAUUUUAAUUUAAGAGCUUGUUUGGUAGAGUUUAAAAGACAAUUGAAAUUAAAUUUUUGACCGUUAUUUCAUUCUUCCCACCGUCAUUUUUGAAUUCUUGUCUCACAGGUAGGACUCAUUUAUUUCUAACGGUCAAAAAAUCAAUUAUCAAAAUCCCUACCAAAUAAGUACUAAAUUAAAAUACUAAUUUUAUUUUCUAGCAAAUAAGGGCUAAAUAUUAACGUCGACUUAAAUUUACAUUUUAAACUGAAAUAAAUAGGGACGAAGAUAAACAACAUAACAAUUUAGCCCUUGUUUGAGCCACAUUAUUCCAAAAAAAUGCAUUCUUAAAUAGUGAUUUGAUAUCAUUUUAACCACGCAUUUUCAAUAAAAUAAUAUUACACGUAAAUUCAAAAUUUUUCCUUAUUUUUUAAUCAUAAAUUUUUCAUUAAUACACUAUUCAAGAAUGUAUUAUUACCAAAAUAAUAUGGCUCAAACCCUCUUAUAUUUAAUUUAAAAGUAAGCCCCUGUUUAGACUCAAUUAUUCUACAUUUUAAUAGGGGAAUAGCAAUUUUUUGAACAAUAUUUGGUUGAAAAAGAAAGAAAAUUUUAAAUUUACGUGUAAUAUAUUUUAUUGAAAUAUGUAUAAUUGAUAAGAGGAUAGAAAAAGAUAAAUUUUAAUUUAAUGGGCCAAACAGGAGCUAAAUUUAACUUAUUCGGAAGAACAACCAAGAAUUGAAAAGUAUUUUUCUUGUAAAGGUUUUACAUGAAUUUAAAAUUGGACAAGUUGGAAAAAAAUAUUACUAAUAGAUACCCGAAUUUUUAAAUAGUAAUCGCCUUUUCUUCAACUUACCACUCAAGCUAACUUACCACAGAUUCCCUCAAUCCACGGCCACCGCCACCUCUACUUAAACUAACACUUGAGCGAUCGCUUCUUCACCAAUCGGAAAAAAUGGUUUCAAGUCACUUGCUUCUUGAAGAGCCUAUACGGAUGGCUUCAAUCCUCGAGCCAUCAAAGCCUGUCAGUUUUUCCCCGUUUUACCACAGCUAAAUGUUUUCUAUCUGAUUUCUGUUCUAACUUGUAAAAUUUCCAUAUUUCUGUUUUUCUUAAGUGGAAAUGGAAAUUUCUCUGCAGAAUUUCUUUCCUGCGAUGACGAAGAUAGUAGGGACGCUCGGGCCGAAAUCGCGAUCCGUUGAAAUUAUUUCAAGAUGCCUUGAAGCUGGAAUGUCUGGUAAUUUCGUUAUUCUCUUGUAUUUCCUACUUCCAUGAUUAUUGAAAUGUAAAUCACAUUUGAGUUCCGUUCGGUUAUUUAACGAAGUACAAAAGUAGGAGCACUGAGAGAGUACGAAUUAUUGAAUUUUGCUCUUUAUUUACAGUUUCUAUUUAAUGAGAUUGAAAACAGAAGCUUUUCUAUAGUUGUAUAUUAUAUGCGAGCAUUAGUUUAGAAGUUUAUUGUUUGGACUGAAAGCUUCAUUUAUUGUGGAUUAAGAGUUCAAAUACAACGAUUUACAUUUUUCUUUUCUUCCUAAAGCUUAUUAUUAAUUUAACACAUGCUUAAUGGCUACAAUUAAGCAAGUAUAACAGUUGAAUUUUCACUCUACUGACUUGUUGUGAUACACGUUUUUAAUUAACAGUGGCAAGGUUUGAUUUUUCGUGGGGUGAUGCUGAAUUUCACCAAGAGACUUUAGAGAAUUUGAAAGGGUGCAUCAAGAGCACAAAAAAGCUCUGUGCGGUAAGCUUGAAAUUUCCUAUUCAUUUUUGGUGCUAUAAACGAAGAAUUAUCUUCCAGGUAGUGUGACCUGUGAGCCAGUAAUUUCUCUCUGUUAACAGGUUAUGCUGGACACUGUGGGUCCAGAGCUACAAGUUAUCAACAAAACUGAACAUCCUAUUUCACUUCAGGCGGAUUCCCUUGUUGUUCUAACUCCUGAUCUGGACAAAGAAGCCACUUCAAACUUGCUUCCCAUUAAUUUUGGUGGGUUAUCAAAGGUAAUAAUAUUGGUGUGAAAUCUCUCUUGCAAAUUCCAUGACAUUACAAAUGGAUAAUUUUACAUAAACCAGAUUUGUACUUGCAAAUUUAGUAAGAGUAAGUCCUAGAAAUAGGAGGCAAGGAUAAUUAACUGUGAAUAAUUAACUUUUGUAAGUUAAUGGAGCACUUCUCCGGAGUUAAUCCUUGGCUGAAGUAGUAGAAGAUCUCAUGGAUGCUAGCACAAUACUAUAUAUUUUUGUACACUGUGCUUGAUUUUUCUCUAUUAAGUUCCUUUAUAUCUGUCUGUUUUAUUUGAUACCACGACUCGGUAAAGAAGAUAAUGUCUUUUAUACUUUUCUCCCCUGCCUUUGUCUGUGCUAGAACGUGAAUUGCAUAUUUUUGUUUAAGGUCGCAAGUUGCAACUUUUAUUUUUACACUUGAUAAUGCAAGCACCUAUUGUUGCGCACAGAUGGACACCAUUAUGACUUUCUGUUACAAUAUAACCGCAGUUUUCUUACCUUGCAGGCAGUAAAGCCGGGAGAUACUAUUUUCAUUGGUCAAUACUUGUUCUCAGGAAGUGAAACAACUUCUGUAUGGCUGGAGGUAUGGAAACAAUAGAGAUUGUGCCCACCUGUCAAUAUUUGUGUGCUGUUGAUUCUCAGGAAUAUUUGAUUUCUUAUGUCUGUUAUUACUGGUUUCCGUCCAUUAUGUUACUGUAGUAGAUGUAUGUUGGCCUAGGAUCUAGCAUUAUUCUUUUUGUUGAUCUUAGGUUAAAUAUUUGGGUGAGGGAACUUCAACUCCUGAUAGGCAAUGUCAAUGAAGGAUUACAAUGUGACUUUUCCAUAGAUGUUGACGCAUAAUGGAGUUCCUACCGUGCAGGUAACUGAGGUGAAAGAGGAGGAUGUGGUUUGUAUGAUUAAGAAUUCUGCCACCUUGGCUGUGUCAUUGUACACGCUACAUGUGUCUCAGAUUCGCAUUGAUCUUCCUACUCUCACUGAUAAAGAUAAGGAGGUACGCUAUGCUAUAGCCAAU
rnacentral:lncRNA from 1 species